UGAGGGAUAUUGGUCAAUGGGCGCAAGCCUGAACCAGCGACGCCGCGUGGGUGAAGAAGGUCUUCGGAUCGUAAAGCCCUUUUCCCACUGAAGAGGAAGGACGGUAGGUGGGGAAGAAGUCUCGGCUAACUACGUGCCAGCAGCCGCGGUAAAACGUAGGAGACAAGCGUUAUCCGGAGUUACUGGGCGUAAAGGGCGUGCAGGUGGCGUCUUAAGUCUGUUGUGAAAGCGCCUGGCUUAACCGGGCGAGGCCAAUGGAGACUGAGAGGCUGGAGGACGGCGGAGGGGUGUGGAAUUCCGGGUGUUGUGGUGAAAUGCGUAGAGAUCCGGAGGAACACCAGAGGCGAAGGCGGCACUCUAAGCCGUACCUGACACUGAGACGCGACAGCACGGGGAGCAAACG
rnacentral:rRNA from 1 species